UACGUAGGGUGCAAGCGUUAAUCGGAAUUACUGGGCGUAAAGCGUGCGCAGGCGGCUAUGCAAGACAGAUGUGAAAUCUCCAGGCUCAACCUGGAGGGGUCAUUCGAAACUGCUAUGACUAGAGUUCGGUAGAGGAGUGUGGAAUUCCUGGUGGAGCGGUGAAAUGCGCAGAGAUCAGGAGGAACACCCGUAGCGAAGGCGGCACUCUGGGCCGAUACUGACGCUGAGGAGCGAAAGCGUGGGGAGCGAACAGG
rnacentral:rRNA from 1 species